UGUCAUAUUUUACCCCCACAAACGCAUAACUCGAUAGUUUUUUGCCUAAUUUUACCAGACCGGGGCAAAGCCUAUUCUAUUACAAACCGACUUAACAUAUAUAUAUAUAUGGACCUCACUGUUUCUUAGCUCUCCUUCCCCACAAGCUUCAACCAAAGGUUGCUGCUGAAAUCUUGUUUGGUGAAAUUGGGUGGUGUUUAAAUUUUGCAAACAUAUGAUUGUGUGAAUUUAGGGUUUCGAAUUGAUUUGUGUGUUGGGUUUUAAGGUUGGUGUUAUAAUUUGUUGAAUUGGGUUAUUUUUUUCUAAGGUGUUAAGGUUUUAAGGUUGUCUGAAAAUUGAUAAAGAUGGAAUGUAAGAAUGGGUUGUGUGAUGGGUCUGUGGAGGAAUCUGGGUUAGGGUUUAAUGAUAGUAUGCAUAUCGGGGUUGAGAAGAUGGGGGAUGAGGGGGGUAAGGUAGGGGGUAAGAAAAGGGUGAUGGAAACUAGGGUUGGGGUUGAUUCGAAUGAUGAGGAGCCGAUUGGGGCUAUGAUGGCGAAGAAGAAAAAUAAAUGUAACCCUAAGAAGGUAAACGAGGGUUUUGUUGGUGAGGGGAUUGAGGAGAAAGAAAGUGGGGUAGAGGAUUUAGGGGGUAUGGGGGAUACAUUGGCUAUUUAUAAGAAGAAGUUAAAGCGGUCUAGGAAGAGCAGUGUAUCUGUUGGAAUAGGAGAUAAGGAUUUAGAUAUAAUUGGGCAUGAGGGGUGUGGUCAGGAAUCUAGUGCUGAGAAAGUUAAAGAAGAGGGAGUGGUUGUAGAGGAAGGUAAGACGGUCGUUGUUGAAGGAACUUGUGGGACUGUAGGUGGCUUGAAUGAGUGCUUAGAUUUCAAUGUAGAAGAUUCGUUGUCUGCCUUUUUCCUCAAGGCACAAUCUGUUUCAGUGAGGAAAUCUCGCACUUCUAUGAAGUCAAAGCAGUUAGGAAAAAUUUAUUCUCUUAGUGAUGGUUUGAGUGCUGGCUCUGGCCGUGUUUUAGAGGAUCAAAUGCCUGAAACAUCGAUAUCACAGUCCCCAUUGGAACAUAUGACCGAAAUUGUGGGAUUUAAUAGCAGUUCAAAUUUAGAGUCUGAAAAUACGAUGGAUUUAAAGCGUCAUAGGAAUAAUAUUAGAAAAGCGCAGCACACUGGCGGUACUAUUUCUCCAGAGUCAAACCCAGAGUUAUCUUCUAGGCCUCUGAUUUCUGAUAGUGUUUUGAGAUCUUCUGAUGAUAGACGCAGUGGAAACCAAGUGAAGCUUGAGGAUUCAGUUACCAUAUCCUUUUCUCAACAAUCUGACCUGUAUUUAAGGUCAUGUCCUAAUAUAGUCUCAACGCUCCCAAAUGGUGAAUUAGUGAAGCCGAUAUGUGAUAUUCACGAAAGAACCAAGCUAGAAACACUGCAGUUAAACCAACUUAUAGCCAAAAAUGCCAAAGGUUCCCAUUGUCCUGAAGUGAAAGAAAACCUUUGUCUUUCCAGUCGGGGGCCUACCUUUGGGAAUGGAAUUCUUGAGGAUGACGUGAAAAUUUCUCCUGUCAAGAAAGCAUGUGAUCUGGGGAAUGUUGUAGUUGAAAUUCCUAUGUCUGUAUCUGCCCCAGAACAGGUGCAUACUAUCAAUCUCUUUGCUGUCGAAACGUCAACCAGAGGCUUCACUGAUAGUCUGGGUGUUAAAGAGUUUAAGGCUGUUGUGAACAGUGAAGCUUAUAAUAUGGAUGAGAAUGUAUUUUCAAAGCCUGAACAUGAUCUUAAGGGGUCUUAUUCUGGUAAUGCUUCGUUGCACAAUUCAUAUGAAGAUUCAUGCAAUGAGACCACAAAACUGAUUUCUGGAAAACAUUUGGGGUCAUUUGAAUGUCUAUCUGAGAAAAAAUUGACAUCUCAUGAGACAAAUUUGUUAAUGUCUAAGCAUGACGAGGCAAAGGAGGAGAAAGCUUUAUCACCUUCAUCACUAGGAGUCGAGAAACAGGAAAUUGAUUUCCAAGAAAAUCCGUCUUGGAACUGCAAGCAAAAUGGUGACAAAUCUGAUGGCCUAACCGAGCAUGCACUUAUUAACAAGUCUGACACCUCAGUUCCAAGGUGCACUUCCAGUUUCCAUCUAACCCAUUCAUCUGAUAAUGCAUUCAAGGAACCAUCUGCAUUAAGUUGUGAUUUUUCUGGUGAUGAAGUAGCCGAUGGGUCCUCUUCUCCAUCCACUGCUCCUGAUUGUAAUAAAAAUCAUACUGACGAUACUGGGUUGGUGCCCUCGCCUAAAGAUAAAGACAAUAAACUUUCAGCGCAGCGUGCAAUGCGUAACACCAGAAAGCGUAGGCAAUUGGACAUGGCUUAUGAAGGAGAUGCUGAUUGGAAUUUUCUGGUACAUGACGGAAAUUUUAAUGCUGAUAAUCAGGAUGAUGAUAAUAGCUUGGUUAGAAGAAAGGAGAAAUCAAAACCGUCAACCAUGUUCCUUGAGGCCAAAAAUGGUUGCAAUGCAGCAGUAUCUUAUGGCCUCAAAGCUCGUGCAGCCAGUCCAAUUGAGAAGAUUAGGUUUAAGGAGGUAUUGAAGCGCAAAGGGGGCCUUAAUAUGUAUCUAGAAUGCAGGAAUCAUAUAUUAGGUCUUUGGAACAAAGAUGUUAGUUCCAUUUUGCCUCUCUCAAGCUGUGGCAUCUCUGCUACUCCAAUGGUUGAUGAAUCACCGGAUGCUUCUCUCAUUAGGGAAAUCUAUGAGUUUCUUGAUCAUUUUGGUUACAUUAAUAUUGGAAUUGCUUCUAAGAAAAGGGUUUCAGAAUCUUCUUUAGUAUAUAAUCUACAUGCUUCAACCAAGAAAACAUUAGGGGAAACACCUGGGGCCGCUUUGGCUGAUUCAGAUGAAGGAGUUUCGUUUAUUGUUGGCAAGUCCAGGAAUCCUGAUUCUUCAUUGGAGGAAAAGAAUUUGGCUCUACAUGAUUGCGAAAAUGUUGUAGCAAUGGACAAACAAGACAGGCCAGUUCUUGAUUCACAUGUUUUGGAGUCAUUUAUACUGACAAAACCUGAAAAAAGUGACAGUAAUCAGGGACAGGGACUACUAGAUGGUAUGGAAUCAGUAACACUCGGAAGUUUGGAUAAUUUGAAUUUUGUAUCUCCUUGUAAAGUAGCAGAUGCUGGAACAGCCCCUGUUAUACCUUCAGAGCCCAUGAGAAAGAUUAAUCGCACCCUAUAUGACACAGUUGAUAAUGUAGGGGAGAAUCCAUGCGGGGAACAUCAUUCGGAAGUUGCAAAGCAAAUUAUCAUAAUUGGAGCUGGGCCUGCUGGAUUAGCUGCUGCUCGCCAUUUGCAGAGACAGGGUUUCCAAGUUACUGUUUUAGAGGCUAGAGGUAGAAUAGGAGGUCGUGUCUUUACUGAUCGAACAUCUCUUUCGGUACCAGUGGAUCUUGGGGCUAGCAUUAUUACAGGUGUUGAAGCAGACGUGGCUGCUGAACGAAGACCAGAUCCUUCUUCCAUAAUUUGCUCUCAGAUGGGUCUCGAGUUAACUGUACUGAAAAGUGACUGCCCUCUUUAUGAUACUGUCACAGGUCACAAAGUUCCUGCAGAUUUAGAUGAAGAUCUGGAGUCUGAAUUCAACAAUCUACUUGAUGACAUGGAACUUCUGGUUGCUCAAAAGGGGACGCAUGCUAUGAAAAUGUCCCUUGAAGAUGGUUUAGAAUUUGCCCUUGAGAGGCGUCGCUUGACCAAGUAUAAAAGAAAUGGUGGAAGAAGUAUUCUUCAUAAAUUAGCAGAUGUUAUCGAUGAAGAGGUUCUUAGGAACAGCAAUUCUGAAGGAGAAGUAUUAAGUCCUCUUGAAAGGAGGGUCAUGGAUUGGCAUUUUGCUCACUUGGAGUACGGUUGUGCUGCUUCACUCAAGGAUGUAUCACUUCCUUGCUGGAAUCAGGAUGACGUAUAUGGAGGAUUUGGAGGAGCUCAUUGUAUGAUCAAAGGGGGAUACAGCACUGUAGUCGAGGCGUUGGGAGAAGGUCUUUGCAUACAUUUGAAUCACGUGGUCACAAGUGUUACCUACCGCACAGGUGAUGCCAUGAUAGAUGAAGAUCAGCAUCACAACGUUAAAGUUUCCACUUCAAAUGGUAGAGACUUUUUUGGUGAUGCAGUUCUGAUCACUGUUCCACUUGGGUGCCUAAAAAAGGAAUCGAUAAAGUUUGCACCGCCAUUGCCACAUUGGAAAAACUUGUCCAUACAAAGGCUUGGUUUUGGUGUGCUUAAUAAAGUGGUUUUGGAAUUCCCUGAAGUAUUUUGGGAUGAUUCUGUUGAUUAUUUUGGAGCAACUGCUGAGGAAACAGACAAGAGGGGUCACUGCUUUAUGUUUUGGAAUGUCAGGAAAACCGUUGGGGCACCUAUUCUUAUAGCUUUAGUCGUUGGUAGGGCAGCUUUAGAUGUGCAAGACAAGAGCUCGUCCGAACAUGUAAACCAUGCGUUAGCGGUUCUCAGAAAACUCUUUGGGGUAGCUGUUGUGCCUGAUCCAGUUGCGUCAGUUGUGACUGAUUGGGGAAGGGAUCCAUACAGUUAUGGUGCUUACUCUUAUGUUGCUAUUGGUGCAUCUGGUGAAGAUUAUGACAUACUGGGUAGCCCUGUUGAGAAUUGUGUGUUUUUUGCUGGUGAAGCUACAUGCAAGGAGCACCCUGACACGGUUGGUGGUGCAAUGAUGAGUGGAAUUCGGGAGGCUGUUCGCAUUAUGAAUAUGUUGACUACAGGAAUUGAUUAUAUGACAGAGGUGAAUUCAAUGGAGGCUGAACAGAGAUGCAUGGACAGUGAACGAAGUGAAGUUAAUGACAUAAUUAAAAGACUUGAAGCAGUUCAGAUGUCAAAUGCUCUAUAUGAAAAAUCUUUGGAUGGAAGCCAUGUUAUAACAAGGAAAGAUUUACUGCAAGACAUGUUCUCUAAAGCAAAAACCACAUCUGGUAGAUUGCAUCUGAUCAAAGAGCUGUUGCAUUUUCCUGUUAGGGUGCUGAAAUCUUUUGCUGGAACCAAAGACGGGCUCAGCAUUCUCAACAAAUGGAUUCUGGAUUCUCUGGGAAAGGAUGCGACUCAACUACUGCGGCAUUGUGUUCGUCUUCUUACUCUUGUUUCCACUGAUCUGCUAGCAGUUCGUGUGUCUGGAAUUGGGAAAACUGUUAAAGAAAAAGUAUGUCUGCAUACCAGCCGUGAUAUACGCGCUGUAGCAAGCCAAUUGGUUAAUGUGUGGAUCGAAGUAUUUCGCAAACAGAAGGCCUCCAAUGGUGGGCUGAAGUUGAUGAGGCAAUCGAAUGCCGUGGAGUCCUCAAAAAGCAAGUAUAGUCUUGGUUCAGGGAAACCCCCUGCCCCACAUGGCGCACAACCUUCACACAAUAAAAAGGGAAUCAACCCUACCAAGAUGUUGGAUGAAAUACAAUAUGUCCCAUCAGAGGAAGAAAAAGCUAUCUUAGCUGCUGAAGAAGCAGCUCGUGCAGCGGCAAUUGCAGCUGCCAAGGCCUAUGCUCUGUCAGGUACCAGGGGCAGUACUUCUCUGCAGCUUCCUAAGAUACCUUCGUUUAACAAAUAUGCUAGACGCGAGCAUUAUCCGCAAUUGGAGGAGGCCGAUAACCAUACAUUGGAAAUAGAUUCUAGGAACUGCAAGGUUAGGGAAUGGACUGCUGAUUUCUCAUCUUCUCAUGUGAACCUUGGAAAUUCGAAAAGGUCGGUGGAAAAUCUCCCACAGCGCAGCUCCUUACAUGAGGUUGCUUGUCAGGUGAACUUCAGUGAGCACUCUGCUGAUAGUGCGGCUGUUGACAGCAGUAUAUUCACCAAAGCAUGGGUUGACAGUGCUGGCAGCGAAGGUAUUAAGGAUGGAAGUGCCAUUGAGAGAUGGCAGUCACAAGCCGCCGCCGCUGAUUCUGAGUUCUAUAGUCGGACCAUGCGGAUGAUGGAUGCGGAAGAGACUAAAAUUAACUCGAGGCCGUCUAUAAUGAAGCAUGAAGUUCAUGCAAGUGAGAGCUCUACUUUCCAAGUUACUACAGGGAAGGAGAUGGUUGAAAAUCGAUCUAAAGGACCAGAGAAGAUCAAGCAAGCUGUUGUGGAUUAUGUUGCAUCUUUGCUCAUGCCUCUUUAUAAAGCAAAGAAAUUUGACAAGGAUGGUUACAAGUCAAUAAUGAAGAAAGCAACAACAAAGGUCAUGGACCAGGCCACAGAUGCAGAGAAAUCAAUGAAUGUUUUUGACUUCCUUAAUUCUAAGCGCAAACACAAGAUCCGAGCAUUUGUAGACAUGUUGAUUGAGAGACACAUGGCGAGUAAAUCAGGUGUUAGAUAGUCGUUUCUUCAUCUCACUGCUAUCUUUUGGAAGGUGGAGGAAGCCUGAUCUUGCUAGUGGGUGCUCUUGAUAUAUUGAUGUUGCAUAAUAGCAGACAGUGUCGUUAAUAGAAAUUCUACAGUUUAUGACUAAGAUGUUGCAGAAAUGGAUGAAGGUGGCUUUUGUAAGAAUCUGUCAAUGUGAUCAUGAUUGGUGGACUUGUUACAGACUCCCGACUUUUUGUGCCUUUGCAUGAGACUGUCAAAGGGAAGGAUAAUGAAAUGACUGUAAUUUAAGUAGACGUGCUUUGUUAGUCAAGCAGGACUUGUGUCUUUGCAGAUAAAAAUUGGGAUGUCCUCUUUCAUACUUUCCUUAUGGAUUUCGCCUGGUGUGGAACUGUCAGAUUCAUGGAUCAUGACGUGUUAUGUUUUCAAAAGCUGUGCAUGGAGAUUAUGCGUCCAAUGAGAAAUUCACAAUUGGUUUGAAAGUUUAUUGGGCUAUCUUGAAUCAGGAUUCCCUUGCGGACGCGAGGAGAGCUUCAAUUUCAUUUUUAAAUGGAUGCUUCGAGGUGAAGUAUUUGGCUAAGGAUCUAUUUCAGAAACUAUUCCACACCAAUGUCAUGUCCGGUGGACAUGAAAACCAUCCCCAUUUCAUGUGCUGGUGGACACAGGCAUGAGGACAAAAGAUGUGGUGUGCCUGCACAAGAUAGCCCUCAGAAGCAAACUUGAAGAACACUGAUCCAUUACAGUGUCUGUGGAUUCUUUCCGCUUAUACUACUUUUGAGGUCAUAUUCCUUGUAGCUGAGCUGCAUAUGGUAUUUGAAUGAGCAGAAUAACGUGCUGCAAGGUUUACCUGAUAAUAUCAACUUGAUAACCCUGCAGACCGUACGGUGUGCCAUUGUCCAUCCACACCCAGGUGGCGGUAUCAAGCAUGGGUACCCGUUUCAAUUAAUACAUUUGCGGUGGUGCCAGGGUUGUAACAUUGCAGCAAGUGGCGAACUGCUUUAAAUUGAAAUGUUAGGGUUACAAACUAUGGGGGAUUGGGAAGAGAUUGUAGUUCCAUCUACUUGGUUACACCCCAGGAAAAGUGCAUUCAGUAUUUUUUAUAACGCAGAAGUUACACGCCUUGGGAAUUGGGAGGUCCUAAAAUGCUGGUAAUUGGACCCUAAAGCUGGUACCAAAAUUAGUUUGUGGUUAAUGUGCUUCACCAGUUCAGUUCAAUGACAGCAGCUAAUUAAAUUUCAUUUAUGCAGUUAUGAACAUAUGAUUGGUCAGUGUAGUUUGAACAGUUGAUCAUAGACAUGAGAUCUGACCGUAUAGAUGUUGUAAAACGUAAAUAGAAUAUAGAUCACUGAUUAUGCUGCUUUGGAUAUCAAUUUUACCAACUGCUCCGUUAUUGUAUUGUAUUUUCUUAUCAUUUGUGUA